UACAGAGGUCCCAAGCGUUGUUCGGAUUCACUGGGCGUAAAGGGCGCGUAGGCGGCUCAUGAAGGCUGUGGUGAAAGUCCGGGCUCAACCUCGGAUCGGCCGUGGCGACUCGUGGGCUGGAGCACUGUAGAGGCGGGUGGAAUUCCGGGUGUAGCGGUGGAAUGCGUAGAGAUCCGGAAGAACACCGGUGGCGAAGGCGGUCUGCUGGGCCAAGAC
rnacentral:rRNA from 1 species